rnacentral:rRNA from 1 species
UAGGGAAUCUUCCACAAUGGACGCAAGUCUGAUGGAGCAACGCCGCGUGAGUGAAGAAGGUUUUCGGACCGUAAAGCUCUGUUGUUGGUGAAGAAGGAUAGAGGUAGUAACUGGCCUUUAUUUGACGGUAAUCAACCAGAAAGUCACGGCUAACUACGUGCCAGCAGCCGCGGUAAUACGUAGGUGGCAAGCGUUGUCCGGAUUUAUUGGGCGUAAAGCGAGCGCAGGCGGAAGAAUAAGUCUGAUGUGAAAGCCCUCGGCUUAACCGAGGAAUUGCAUCGGAAACUGUUUUCUUGAGUGCAGAAGAGGAGAGUAGAACUCCAUGUGUAGCGGUGGGAUGCGUAGAUAUAUGGAAGAAUACCAGUGGCGAAGGCGGCUCUCUGGUCUGCAACUGACGCUGAGGCUCGAAAGCAUGGGUAGCGAACAGGAUUAGAUACCCUGGUAGUCCAUGCCGUAAACGAUGAGUGCUAAGUGUUGGGAGGCUUCCGCCUCUCAGUGCUGCAGCUAACGCAUUAAGCACUCCGCCUGGGGGAGUACGACCGCAAGGUUGAAAC